AUUGAACGCUGGCGGCAGGCCUAACACAUGCAAGUCGAACGAGUGGCGGAAUGGUGUGUAAUGUCUGGGAAACUGCCUGAUGGAGGGGGAUCACAACUGGAAACGGUAGCUAAUACCGCAUACUAUCCGAUGUGCCUAGAUGGGUUUGGCCCGUGGGUGGGGGAAUGGCUCACCUAGGCGACGAUCCCUAGCUGGUCGGAGAGGAGGACCAGCCACACGGGAACUGAGACACGGUCCAGACUCCUACGGGAGGCAGCAGUGGGGAAUAUUGCACAAUGGGCGCAAGCCUGAUACAGCCAUGCCGCGUGUGUGAAGAAGGCCUUCGGGUUGUAAAGCACUUUCAGCGGGGAGGCGUUACCCGCAGAAGAAGCACCGGCUAACUCCGUGCCAGCAGCCGCGGUAAUUC
rnacentral:rRNA from 1 species